rnacentral:lncRNA from 1 species
CCGGGGAGAUGAGAGCGAGGGGAGGGGCGGACGCACAGCGCCGGCCGGCGGAGCCCGGGGUCACGAGGACGCAUGCGCCGGAGGGAGCGCACUCUCCGACGCGGAUUGCGACUGCCCGCUUUGAAAAGGAAACCCCCAGGGCGCGAGCGCGAGGGAAAGCUGGCCCAGACGCGUGCGCGCUCCCGCGAAAGAAAAGCACCAGAAGUAAAGAAACUUUUACAGCUUUUGUUGAUUUGGCUGUUAACGCUGAUCCCCCGAAUCAAAAAAAGGUAAUCAAACUUGAAAGUUUGCAUUUUAAUUUGUAGCUUCAUUUUAAAUGAUGAGAGGAGAAAAUUGUGCAGUGUUUACCCUCCACUUGGUUGAAAAACAAAGGUUCUAAAAAGGCUAUAUUUAUAUAAUGAGUGGGUUUCUCUGUUUAAAAUCUUGUUGAGGGGGAAAAACUAACUCAGGUGUUAAGUAGUAAACUGAUGAGAACGUCAUUAAAGGUUAGCCUAAGGAAGAUAGAAGGAAAGUUGUGGGACAACUGGUCAUAGUCAGCUAUGAAAGAAAACAAUGAGGAAGGGUUCUGUGUACUGACCUGGGAAGAGCUCCAAAAUAUGUUAUGAAGUGAAAAAAAGAUGUAGGGCUGUGUGAAUAAUGUGCUGCUUUGUGUGUUAAGGGGACAGGCGAGGAAUAAGAAUACAAGCUUGCGUUUGCUUUUCUAAGUAUAAAGCGACUCUGGAAAGGGAGAAACUGCAGAACUGGUAAUGGUGGGCGAGAGGGGGAAGGAGCCUGAUGAGGGGAUGGUGGGAAAUGACGUUGUGUAUGUCUUAUUUUUAAAGUAUUUGGACUGUAUUAUGGAUUCAUAAACUAAACAGAAGUCCUUCUUUCCAAAAUAACUUGUUAUGUGUUUUUGUUUGUUGCUUAUUUCUCUUUCCUAAUUUAUGGUGAUUUUGGACAUUUUCAACAUGAUUUCUCUUAAUAUUUUUAAGGAAAAUGAGCUGUAAAAUUCAAAGAAAGCUUAGGGUAAGUUUGGCUGUCUAUGCCUCGAUUUUUAAGGUGCUGGUGUCACAUUUAAUUUUUAAAGCUGUUUAGUCACAUUUUACUUUGCCGAAAUAUGACAUCAUUUACAUUUGGCAUUAUGGCUGGAUUAUAAAGAUUUCAGAGCAUGGUUUGCCUCCUUUUUUUUUUUUUUUUUUUUCAGGAAUCAUACUUGCAUAAAAUUUGACUUUUAGUUUUUUUAACCCCAAAGUUGUCAUGACAAAUAGUUGGAGAGUAUGAGCACUCCAUUAAAAUGGUAAUAGAAUCGUUUGUCCAGGUAGUUUGCUUUGCAGAUUUGGGAAAUGCUUUUCUCAAGACAAUCAGAUAUGAACCUCAGUGACAUGUAACUUUAUAUGUAUAUUUAUUUUUAUAGUACUUUCGGGGAAUUAAAACUAGCAGUCAGUGCAGAACAUCAAAAUUUUUUUAUGGCUUAUUGAUUGCUCCACACAGUACAUGAUUUGGGGAAGGGUACUCAGAACCUCUUGGAUGCUAAUAUAAUGAAAGUAGUGAAUGUUGAGUAGUGGUUGACAGUUACUGUGGGCAUUUUCGUUAUGUUUCCAGUAUUCCUUUUUAUUUUGUACGAUAGGAUAAUUAUUUUUGUUUGACUUAGAGGUCUCUAGUCAAACUUAUGCAUAUUUUUUCAUUUGAAUUCCAUGUGGGUCUAUUCAGUCUUUUUGAAAAAAUAGAAUUGCAUUUCAAAAUUUUACUUAAAAUUUUGUUAUUGUUUUUCAAAUUAUAGAAGUAGAGUGGUGUUCAUGAGAAAUUAAAACAAUGCAGUGUAUAUGUACGUGAAGCAGCCUUUGCACGUGUCCACCUCUUCUCACAUCUCUGCAGAAAUGACUGCUGUUAACAGUGUUGUAUAACCUUCGAGUUCUUUUUCUGUGCAUUUACAAACAUGAAUUUUCAGUCUUGAGAACUGAAUUGUCUUGUUUUGUCCGCUUGUUUGCCUUCAAUGUGAGCUCUGUUAGUGUCACAGGUCAGGGAAAUGACCUGGAGUGUGUCAGAAAGUUUAACAUAUAGUAUGCGCCUUAGGACAGUCUCAUCUUUUCACUGGUGAGGGGCUGGUUAGUUUGGGGCACAGUUACGGUUUGUAGUGAGCUCUCACUGUUGUGAGCUUUAAUCUGAUGUGGAUUGAAUUUACCUUUAGACUUAGAGUCCGUGGCUUUUAUAGGACUCUUUAGGGUCCACAUUUCUAGGGUUUUGACCUGGUCAGUAGCUCACAGGUUAAACUGCUUUUGUUCUCCUGCAUGUGCGGGCCAAUAGAAAACUACUUAGGUUCCACCAGCCUGUCCUGGUCUCUGGAGUGAAACUACACAGGUCUGUCCUUAACUAGGAGACAUUGACUUGGAAUGCAGCCUUGGAAGGGGAGAGGGAGCAGAGGCAGUCAGGUCUGGUUUGUCCUAUAAUGACAGCAGACAAGUCGUAUGUACACCCCACCCACCCCUGGCCCCCUGCACAGAGAAGACUGCCUUUCUAACCAAGCUGCAAAUAAUUGCCAAGACUUAAUUCCUUUUAGGUGAUAGAAAGUUGAUGUCUUUAACAUUGUGGUUGCCAAAGGGGAGGGAGUGGGACAGAUGGGAGUCUGGGGUUAGUAGAUGCAAACUAUUGCAUUUGGAGUGAAUAAGUGACAAGAUUCUGCUGUAUAGCACAGGGAACUAUAUCUAGUCACUUGUGAUGGAACAUGAUGGAGGAUAAUGUGAGAAAAAGAAUGUAUAUAUCUAUAGUAUAACUGAGUUACUUUGUUGUUCAGCAGAAAUUGACAGAACAUUGUAAAUCAACUAUAAUAAAAAAUUAAAAAAAAGUAUUUGUGGAAGUUGCCAUUGUGGCUCAGUGGGUUAAGAAUCCAACUAGUAUCUAUAAUGAUGUGGGUUUGAUCCCUGGCUUCCAUCAGUGGGUUAAGAAUCUGGUUGCUGUGGCUGUGAUGUAGACUGGCAGCUGCAGCUCCAAUUUGACCUCACCUAGGAACUUCCGUAUGCUGCAGGUAUGGCUGUUAAAAAAAAAAAAGAGCAUGUAUAUAAUGAUUAUAACACAAGAUAGGAAAUGAUAGAUUCUAGAAUAAAUACGUACAUAAGAUUGUAAGGGUGCGAAUGUUUCCGCUUUUUACUUUUGUAGACGUAGGAUUUGGAGGGAGAGUAGAUACCUUAACAUUUUUAAAAUACAACAGACUUGGAAAGCUCAAAUAUCAGCUCUGAAGGGGUGAGGAAGUAAGGAGUUGAGUUGCAUCCUCAUGGCAGUCAAUUAUGACAUUUAUUUAUAGUUGUUUAUUUUUGUUUUUACUCUGUCCCACUGGAAAGAACCAUUUGAUGUUUUAUUUGAUAAUUAUCAUACAGCCUCUCUAAGAUUUCAGGAUUUUAGAAAUAAGAAAUUUAAUUGUACCAGAUGAGUGUCGUCUAUCAUUUAAUGUGUCAGGCAGUGUUAGUAUUAAAAGUAAGUUGUUUUUUCCUAUCAUGUUUUUUUCCCCUCAAAGCACAUAUUUAAUGUGCCCUCUCCCACAUUUAUUUGUGGUGCUGUGUCAAAUAAAACAUUUAUAACCAAAUAAAUAUUUUAAACUAUGAAAGUGAACAACAAUAUGGUGAAAAAUCCAUCAAAGUUCCACAUUACAGCAAAACUACCUUUUAUUGUUUUGCAGAUGCAUAAAGUAAAAAAAAAAUUUGAGGUAUAGUUUCUCAUAUGCAUCAUACAAGUGGACAUUGCGUUUUCUCCUUUUCUGAGUCUAAAAUUCUAGAUGGGAGUUCCCGUCGUGGCGCAGUGGUUAACGAAUCUGAUUAGGAACCAUGAGGUUGCGGGUUCGGUCCCUGACCUUGCUCAGUGGGUUAACGAUCCGGCGUUGCUGUGAGCUAUGGUGUAGGCUGCAGACGCGGCUCGGAUCCCGCGUUUCUGUGGCUCUGGCGUAGGCCAGUGGCUACAGCUCCGAUUAGACCCCUAGCCUGGGAACCUCCAUAUGCGGGGGAGGGGGGGGCGGCCCAAAGAAAUAGC